rnacentral:rRNA from 1 species
UACGUAGGGGGCUAGCGUUGUCCGGAAUCAUUGGGCGUAAAGCGCGUGUAGGCGGCUCGAUUAGUCUGCUGUGAAAGUCGGGGGCUCAACCCUCGGAUGCCGGUGGAUACUGUCGGGCUAGAGUGCGGAAGAGGUGAGUGGAAUUCCUAGUGUAGAGGUGAAAUUCGUAGAUAUUAGGAAGAACACCAGUGGCGAAGGCGGCUCACUGGUCCGGUACUGACGCUGAGGUGCGAAAGCGUGGGGAGCAAACAGG